UCAAUUACUGCAACUGGACCGGUGUCACGUGCCGUGGUCGUGUCGUCAUCGGUUUAAAUCUCUCUGAUUUUGACUUAACCGGUUCAAUCUCUCCUUCGAUUGGCCGGUUUAGUAACCUAAUCCACCUCGAUCUAUCUUCCAACAGUCUCGUGGGUCCCAUCCCAACUGCUCUCUCCAACCUCUCCGCCUCCUUGGAAACUUUGCAUCUCUUCUCUAACCAACUCACCGGCGAGCUACCGAGUCAACUCGGCUCACUCGUGAACCUCAGGUCGUUAAAACUCGGAGACAACGACCUAAUCGGAUCAAUCCCGGAUACGUUCGGUAACCUCGUCAAUCUCCAGACGCUCGCAUUGGCCAAGUGUAGACUAUUAUUUAAUGUACAAUUAAUUAAAUAAGAGAUGAUUUAAAUAAAAAUCUAUUGGUUGCUAAAAAAGUAAAAAAAUAUUUAAUAUAUAAAAUUACAUUAAAAAUGUAGAAUGGUAUAUUUUGAAAUAAAAAAUAAGCUAGAAUGACAUUUUUAUGAAACAAAAGAGUAUAUAUAAAUAAAUGCCGAACAAUAUACAUGAAAAUCUAAGGGGUAAAUAUAGAAAAGCAACUUCUCAAAUUUCUCAUAAGAGGACUUCUCGAGUCAUAUGAAGCUAAACAGACUUCACAACAGAGUAAUGUUUUUGAAGAAGUACCCUUCAACCAAGUUAUCGUUCUGUCGUCUCAACCGCUCUCUUGCAUUGGCCAUGCUCAAAGCCAUAUCGUUCUUUCAUUAUAUAUAUAUACAAUAUAACUUAUUUAUUUCAUUGUCAUUAGUCUCCUUCCACAUUAUCAUUACUUACACAACUAAAAUUCUCAUGAAGCUGAAUUUUGUAGAUAAAUGGAAAUAAAUUGUGUUAAAGAUGGAUAAAUCGAAACACAACAGCAUAUUUUUUACGGCUCUUUUACUGUGUGUCACGCUAUCAUAUUCUAUAUGAACAAGAAUAAAAUACUAGUAGUAUUUUUCAAUUUUUUAUAAAUGGACACACAGUAAUUGAAAAACAAAGAUAAAUUUCAAAUUUUUAUUUUGCAAAAACAUUCAACAAAAAGUUUUCAGGAUUUUGAAACCAUUUGCAAUUUCAAUUCUACUAAUAAAAUCUAAAAUCAGCUAAUCCGAAACAUCUCAUCACUAUGAGCAUUUAUAGAAAGAACACAAAGAGACAAUGGCACAGUCGCAACAUAAAUGUAAGAAACUUGCAAUUGCAUUUUCCAACGCCUCUCAUCUGACCCUCGUUGACCUUCGUCUGCUCUUUCCCAUUGCUUCAUUCAUUUCCCUUUAAUUACACACACACACACACUGUCAAUAAUUAAUCAAAGCGAAACGACAGAAGAUAUAAAGAGACACCCGCGUGUCGUCAUUUUAAAAGGCUAUACUAUGUAGUUUUAGGCUUUUAGCCUUCUUUUAUAGCCGAUCCCAAAGCUUUAUCUGCAUUUACUUCUCUUGCAACUCACCACACAUCAAACAUUUGAGCGUGUUAUAUUCUAUAGAGAGAGAGAGAGAGAGUCGUCCCCCAUGCACCGUCCUUACGACCAAUCAUCUCUGUUUCAUCAACUUCAACCAAAAAAACCAACAAUUCUCUUAAACUCUCUAUUUUUCCCAACACUAGUCUCACUUCUACUAAUCACCAGUGGAAUCUUCUUUCACUUUCAUACACUUCUUGUUUCCCGAAGAAGAAGAAGUAAGAAGCAAUAACAAUGCAGCGACUCUCUCUUCUUGUUCUGUGUUUCCUCUGUUUUUCAGUCGGUUUGGGUUCGGGUCAACCGGGUCAAAGCAACGAUCUCCAAACUCUCCUCCAAGUGAAGAAGUCUCUUGUCACAAACCCAAAGGAGGAAAAGGUUCUCCGGAGUUGGAACUCCGAUGAUUCCAAUUUCUGCAACUGGACCGGCGUCACGUGCGGUGGUCGUGAAGUCAUCGGUUUAAAUCUCUCCGGUUUAAACUUAACCGGUUCAAUCUCUCCUUCUAUUGGCCGGUUUGAUAACCUAAUCGACCUCGAUCUAUCGUCCAACAGUCUCGUAGGUCCCAUCCCAGCUUCUCUCUCCAACCUCUCUUCUUCUUUGGAGACUCUGCAUCUCUUCUCUAACCUACUCGGCCGCGAGAUACCGAGUCAACUCGGUUCACUCGUGAAUCUCAAGUGGUUAAAAAUCGGAAACAACGACCUCGUCGGAUCAAUCCCGGAGACGUUAGGGAAUCUCGCCAAUCUCCAGACGCUCGGAUUAGCGGCGUGCAGACUCACCGGUCCGAUACCGAGUCAACUCGGUCGACUCGUUCAGAUGCAGUAUUUGUAUCUGCGACAUAACUACCUCGAAGGACCGAUUCCACCCGAGUUAGGAAACUGUACCAACCUUUCCCUAAAAAAUAACCAAUUUGAAUAUGACAUUUCACCCUUUUCAAACCAGAUGUUGAUAAACUUAUCCAUUUUAGAAUAUGAUAAACCAAACAUAAUUAUAUACAUAUCUAAAACACAAUGAAUUGUUGAAGAAUACAAUUUUUUUUGUUAAUCAAAAAGUUUUAACCUUCAUUUAAACUUAUAUCUCUAUAUCCUUUAAGCAAAAAAAAAAAACUCAGAAAUGGAUGCUUCUGCGUUUAUGUCAAAGAUGACAUCUGCAAAAUCUUUUAUUAAAUCGGGAAAAUAUCAAAGAGAAUCAUGUUAGAUCAAACCAAUAUGUUGCCGAGUGUGGUGGUGAUGACAAAAGUGGAUGGAAUCAUGAGAGAACCCCUUUGACUUAGCAAUUGAUUAUGUAGAUAAUUGAGUUUAGAUUUUAGGGUCAAACAUACAGUUUUAAAAACUCUUGGUUUAAAUUAUAGAGUUCAUAAAAAUAUGUACCAUAUAUUAUAUGGUUCUAAUUUUCUAUAAAAUUAGUUAUUUUCACAACCUCCUCCAACGCUCAAGAUAAAGAAAAUAUUUAUCACAUAAAUAAAAUAUAUAUUUAAAUUAAUAUAAAUAUUUAAAAUAAUAUAAUAAUAUUUUCAAAAUGAUGUAUAUGCCGACACUAUAUAAGAAUCUAUUCAUAGAAAUACAACUGCUCUCUUUUUCAUGCUAAGGGCUUGAGUAAAUGAGAAGCCAACACACUUCAAAACAAAAGCAGAAAUUGAAGAAGUACCCUUCAACCAUGUCACCGUUCUCUGAUCUCAACUACUCUCAUUCGGUAGCCAUGGUCAACCCCAUAUCAAUCCUUUUAUACUAUUUCAUGAUCAUUAAACUCAUUCAACUUAUUUACCUCAUUGUCACUAAUCUCAUUUUAAACCGUCAUUCAUUAUACACAACUAAAACUCUCAUCAAAUUGAAUACCGUGGAUCAAUUACGGUUAAGAUGAAUAAAUCUAAACACAAAUAGCAUUUAUAUAGCGAGACAUUGACACAGCCGCAACAUAAAUGUAAGACACUUGCAAUUGCAUAUUCCAAUGUCUCUCCUCUGACCAUCUUUGACCUUCGUCUUCUCUUUCCCAUUGCCUCAUUCAGCUUCCUUUACACAAACUCUCUCUCUCUCAAUAAUCAAGUGAAAUAACAGAAUAUAGAAAGAGAGAUUCGCGUGUUGUCAUUUAAAAGGAUAUAUCUAUAUAGAUUUAAACUUAUACCCCCAUCCCUAGCUUUAUCUGCAUUAACUUCUCCUCUAACUCACCACAUUAAACAUAUAUAUACACAAACAUAUGCUGAGAUUAUAUGUCAUAUAGAUGGAUAGAUAGAGAGAGAGAGGGAGAGUCCCCAUGCACCGUUCUUACGACCAAUCAUUCGUCUUCAACCAAAGGGACCAACAAUUGUCUUAAAUUCUCUAUGUUUCCAACACUAGUCUCACACUGAUCACGACAAGAAACUCAAGAUACUUCAUUCACUUUCAUACAUCUCUUGUUUCUGAAGAAGAAGAAGAAAGACGAAGGAAAAAAAAAUGCAGCAAAGUUCACUUCUUAUUGUGUUGCUCGUCCUCUGGUUUUCAAUCGGGCCGGGUUUGGGUCAACCGGUUCAAAGUGACGAUCUUCAAACUCUUCUCGAAGUGAAGAAGUCUAUUGUGAUAAACCCAGAAGACGAAAAGGUUCUCCAAAACUGGAAUUCAGAUGAUCUCAAUUACUGCAACUGGACCGGUGUCACGUGCCGUGGUCGUGUCGUCAUCGGUUUAAAUCUCUCUGAUUUUGACUUAACCGGUUCAAUCUCUCCUUCGAUUGGCCGGUUUAGUAACCUAAUCCACCUCGAUCUAUCUUCCAACAGUCUCGUGGGUCCCAUCCCAACUGCUCUCUCCAACCUCUCCGCCUCCUUGGAAACUUUGCAUCUCUUCUCUAACCAACUCACCGGCGAGCUACCGAGUCAACUCGGCUCACUCGUGAAUCUCAG
rnacentral:lncRNA from 1 species